UAGUCAUAUGCUUGUCUCAGAGAUUAAGCCAUGCAUGUCUAAGUAUAAGCAAUUUAUACAGUGAAACUGCGAAUGGCUCAUUAAAUCAGUUACCGUUUAUUUGAUAUUUCUUACUACAUGGAUAACCGUGGUAAUUCUAGAGCUAAUACAUGCUAAAAAUCCUGGACGCGGCAACGCGGAAGGGACGAGUUUAUUAGAUUAAAAACCGACACCUCUCCGCGAGGGGAGGUAGCACAGGUGAUUCACAGUAACCGAUCGGAUCGUCGGCCCCGCCGACGACGAUGCAUACGAGUUUCUGCCCUAUCAACUUUAGAUGGUAGAGUAUCGGUCUACCAUGGUCGUAACGGGUGACGGGGGAUUAGGGUUCGAUUCCGGAGAGGGAGCCUGAGAAACGGCUACCACUUCCAAGGAAGGCAGCAGGCGCGCAAAUUACCCAAUCCCGACACGGGGAGGUAGUGACAAGAAAUACCAUUGUAAUGUCUCCUCGAGAGGCUUACGAUUGGAAUGAGUACAAUUUAAAUCCCUUAACGAGUAACGAUU
rnacentral:rRNA from 1 species